rnacentral:rRNA from 1 species
UCUUAAUUAAUUAAGAUAAGGUAAGAGAAAAUAAUGAUAUUAUCUUACUAUUAGUGUCGUCUAAAUUUGGUGCCAGAAGACUCGGUAAGACCUUAGACACAAACGUUAAUCGUCAUAAUCAGGCGUAAAGGGUUUGUAGGCGGCUUCAAAUAAGAGCUAGAAUCUAAUAGAGGGUAAGCUAAAUAACAUAAUUAAUUGUGAUUGACAACAUAUAAUAAUGUGGAAUACUAAAGGUUAAAGCUAUUUAUCUACUACAGAUUGACGCUGAGAAACGAAGGAGAGAUUACAAAACUUAGAUUAGAGACCUAAUUAUUUCUCUCAGUCAACGAUGAAUGGUAGUUAUUAAAAAAAUAAUAUAAAAAAUAAUUAUAUCAAUAUUAGUGACGAGGUUAACACGAUGACCAUUCCGCCUUGUAAGUAAGACUGCAAAGUUGAAAACAAAAAAAUUAGUCGGUCUUGAAGCAAACGAAGUGAAGCAUGUUAUU